rnacentral:rRNA from 1 species
CGGCCGCGUCGACGGGGGACAACGUUUCGAAAGGAACGCUAAUACCGCAUACGUCCUACGGGAGAAAGUGGGGGAUCUUCGGACCUCACGCUAUCAGAUGAGCCUAGGUCGGAUUAGCUAGUUGGUGAGUAACGAUUCUCCAACCUAACGAUAUAACCGUACCCGACCGUAGGUCCUCACUUCGAGUAAGUACGGCCCGAACGGAACCCGGGUACCCGGGUAACCCGGGUUUCCCCCGGUACGGACCGGGCCCGGACCGUUAGGUUCCGGGGUAGGGGGACCGGAACGGAACGGCCAACCAACGGGGAAGGGGUAAGGUAGG